ensembl:lncRNA
UCCUGGAAUUAUUAAUAAGUAGUGGGAAUGAUUGGACAGUACUGUGAAUGUACUAUAAGCCACUGAAUCAUACACUUAAAAAAUGGUUAAAAUGAUAAAUCUUAUGUUAUGUGAAUUCUACUUCAAUUUUUUUAAUGGGAUCUCAGUUCCCCCACCAGGGCUGAACCCUGACCUCUGCAGUUAAAGCAUGGAAUCCUAACCACUAGACUACUAGAGAACUCCUUAUUUCAAUUUUUAAAUAAUUAAUAUGAGAUGCUCAAAUACAAUGACCUAUUUUGAACUUUUCAGGACUGAGUCUUUCAAAAUAAGUGCCCAAUAAAAACGGUCUCCUGCAUUGCAGGAAGAUUUUUCACCGUCUGAGCCACGAGGGAAGCCCCAAAUAGUAACACAUGGGCCUCUUCUCUAGGAAGUCAGAGGCCUCCUCAUCUGCUCAGCAACCCUCUCCCAUUGGCUUGAAACCAUGACUCUGAUUAAGGACCCGGGUUCCCCAGGUCCUGCUGCAGGGAUACAAGGAGGCAGGGAAUAAUGGCAACUAGUCCUAGAAGACUCUGGGUCCCCAAAGCUGGCUGAGACUGGUUAAAGCUUCGUUUAUUGUGACAGGGCCUUGGUUGGUGGGAGGAGGUCGAAAGUUGUCAUUAGCAGGAUCUGAACGCCACCUCUGCCCCUAACCCUCACGAGGCCUCAACCUCAGGGCCUUCUGGAUGGUGCUUUUCUCUGAGUGCUUGGCUCAUCCAAGACACAGACGUUUCCCAGAAGCCCCCAAACUACACGGAGUCCAGCAGGUGGCAUGAAGCUGACUUAGUUGGAGAACGGGCUUAUGGGGAUCUCCCCUUUCAGGAAGAUGAGAACUGCUAUAAGGAUUCAGGAAAACCCCUGAGGCCCAGGAUGUGGAGAACUGAGCGCCCCGUCCCUCACCGCCGAUUCCAUUCUUCCAUCCCAAGGAGGAGAGCCACUCGAAUGUCCUGAAAGACACUGGGACUCCGAGGACAGGAACUAGGAAGCACCCUUCCUGGGUCCCUGCCCCAGUGGACUUCUCCAGUUCUUCCUUCCCAGCCGUUGCUGUGGCAUUAGCCAUCUGGAAAAAGAGCUGCUGGUAGGACCUGGGACUUUUGUUCACACCCAUAAGCCUUCCCUCCAGAUAUCCAGUACUUUGCCUUCAGGAAGGAGACUUGAACUUCAGGCAACAGGAGAAAACCAAACCUUCAAGGGCUUUGGUUCCCUCCAAGGCCAAGGUUCCCAAGAUCCUUGGUUAAGAGGUCUGGGCCACUGCCCUCCCGUCUUCACUCUUCUUUUCCCUGUUUGUCCCAGAGUUCUGCUAUAACCCCAAAGCUUUUCUGUUUACCAUCAACAUGGAAACUUGACUCUUCAUAUAGGUAUAUUUUCCCUCUUUUGUGCAUCAUCUUGUUCCCAAAAACUGCCUUUUCAUGAAGGAGGCUUGUGGGACUCAAGGGGCCUGGCCAGUCACCCAGGCUCCCCCGAAGCCUCAGACCACUGGUAAUGUGGAGAAGUUUAAUAAAGAUGUCAUUACUUCUUGACUUGUAGCUUGUGUUCAGUGUGCUGAUUCAGAAGUGAAGACUCAGAGGGAUCCUUUUUAUCCUUCCCACUUAAACCAGGUGGAACG